GGAGAGGUGAACGGUACAGUGAAUUCACAUGAUGUCCCAUCUGAAAUGCACAAUGGUGAGCAGGGAAUCUGAGAAGGAAGGAAGGAAGGAGGUAAGAAAGAAAGAGACUUUUCAAGGAUAAUGUACAUCAGACACAAGAAGUUUGGGUCAUAAGGAUGGUUUUUACAUUCCACCGCCCUUGAAGAGCUUUCAUAGACAGCCUGAGGAGUCCUGUGCUAAUUACAUGAGAUCCCUCUUCUGCUUGUCUCCUGGUUCUCAACCCAGCUGGGCUCCUCAGUGGGCUCCUCUGACCCCUGGAUUCCCCCCCGGGUUUGGCGGCAAAUCUGGAGGAGCCCCAAGGGCAGGCUCAGCCCUCUUUCCCCAAAGGCAAAGCGUCCGAGGCUUGGACGCUGUGCGGGGGCCAGCCUGAGCCAGGAAGACCACAUCAGUGGACGCUCAGUCACCAGAAGGCAACAUGCUGUCCAUCCAUUGAACCCACUAUAGUCUCCCACCUGUAGAGCUAUCGGAUCCCUGCCAGAGCAAGAAGAAACACCUCAGCUGGAGGACGCCAUUCCAAAUAUUUUUCUGGAGGUGGGGAAGGGAAGGAGAGAGGAAGGAUGGUGCCGCAAGCGACUGUUGUCUCGGAUGUGAUCAUGAGCCAUCCCAUAUAAAUGCCCACCUUGUCUUGCUGUGUACUCAUUGUCUUCGAUCAACCUCGCCAAUCCAAAGUCAGCAAUCUUGCAUAUUAGUCCGUUCCCCACUAGGAUGUUUGCUGACCGCAGGUCCCUGUGGAUGUAAUUCAUGCGCUCGAUGUAAGCCAUUCCCGCGGCAACCUGUAGGAACGGAGGAACAGGACGCACGUCACACCACGACUCCACGGGCUCACACGGCCUUACGCCUGAGGCGGGCGUCAGAGGACCACGCAGCCUACCUGUGCUGCCAUAUCCACGAGGUUUGGUAAUUUCAGAGCUCUUCCUUCCCCGUCUUUUAAGAAAUCGAGUAAACUUCCUGUGGACAAAACAUAAAACCAUUUCAAUUUACUCUGGAAGAUAAAAAUGCCUGACAAAGGGCUGCAUUUGGUUUUCUUAUUAGAAAUAAUGAGGUGAUUGAAUAGAUGAUGCCGUUGAUGAAGAAAAAAGAGAUUCAUACAAAAAAAAAAAGGAGGGUAGAAAAAACUCUUGUUUGAGAGGCAGCGGUUUUAUCUUUCAGAUUUCAGAUUUCAGCACAGACAAUGGUGACUUCAUUUCUAAGAACAAAAGUUUGGGGAUGCCUGGGUUGUUCAGUGGUGGAGCAUCUGCCUUUGGCUCAGGGUGUGAUCCCGGGAUCCUGGGAUCGAGUCACGCAUCAGGUCCCUGCAGGGAGCCUGCUUCUCCCUCUGCCUGUGUCUCUGCCUCUCUCUCUGUGUCUCUCGUGAAUAAAUAAAUAAAAUCUUAAAAAAAAAAACAACAAAAGUUUGAAAAAAGCAUAAUGCGUGGGAUAUGAUUCCCUUUAUGUCACAAAGAAGGGCACGUGGGGACAUGUGGGGAUACGUGGGGAGCUGCACCACUUUGCUUCAUCCCCAGCAGCCCCCACCGACAUGGGGAAGACGCUGCCCGCCAAGUGGUUCCCAAAGUGUGGUUCUGGGACCAGCAGGGAUUGCAUCCCUCGGGGAAUCUGUUAGAAACUCUCAGGUUGUGUGCCAGAAUCAGAAUCAGAAACUCAGGAGGCGGGGCCUGGAAACGUGCAGUGUGAGAAGCCUGCUGGGUGAUCUUGAUACAUAGCAAAGUUUGAGAAGCACUGGCCUAGCUUAUUUACAGAUUUUUAAAUCAAGGAAAGAAUAUCUGAGGAAUAUAGAGUGGGGCAGGUAGCUCCCCUCGUUGGAUCAUGGCCAGCCAGGCCUUCCGGAUAUUUGACGCCUCAGAGCCACCGUGACAGCACGGCCUAAGUUGCUUAGGACCAACACCAGGGCUCGAACAAUCCUGCGCAGAGGCCGGAGGCUUGUGAUGGUCACUGGUGAUUGCUUGCAUGCUUUAAUCACAAAGUUAUUGACCAAAUAACCCUGGAGACAAAAGACAAGCAAUCUGCCAGGAAAAAACAUUUUUUCCGAAUAUAUUUAAAAACAAAGUACAUGGAAAGGAAAAAAUUACACUGGGGUCCUCUGUUGUAUGAUGCAUUCAUUGCCUUUUAAGGUUGUUUCUUGUUUGGUUCGUCUAUUUUUCCGAAACAAAGUGAUCUUUGGCCUUAUCCCUGGCAAUACUGCUUUUGAUUAGAAAGACAGAGAGAGAAUGAGAAUAAAAUGCGCUCUCUAGGCCGCUUGGGUGCUGCAGUUGAUUGAACGCCUGGCUCUUGGUUUCGGCUCAGGUCAUGAUCUCCGGGUCGUGAGAUCGAGCCCUGCAUCAGGCUCUGCACUCAGCAGGGAGUCUGCUUGAGACUCUCUCUCCUUCUCCUUCUGCCCCUCCCGGUUGUAUUCUCUUUCUCUCUAAUAAAUAAAUAAAUCUUAAAAAAAAUGUGCUCUUUAAAAGCAUGUCUUUCUUCAUCUGAUAUUUAAGAGAGUUGGAAAAACAAAGGUGCUGAGAAGAUGGAGACAAAAUGAACCCAGAGACCUGUGUCUGAUAUGAACCCUUCAGCCCUGAAAAAGGAAAUUUAGCACAAGGCAUGCCAUCCGAAAUGACAGCAAAUGAUCACAGCCCUCGCCACCACCCUUGACAUUAAAAAUGAAUGCUUUCGUUACGGAGAGGAGCUGAGACUCCUGACAUGUGCAGCGUGUAAAAGGUGCUGUGUUUCAUAAGGACCUAGGGGUGGGAGCACACUCAAGGUCAUGGUCUGUUUUAAAACUGUUUUUAUUAAUGAGCAAUUUGUGCUUCCUGACGGGAAUGCUUGACUCAUGCAGAAAGCAGGGAAAAAGCAAGCAGGCACCACCAUUUCCCUCCC